rnacentral:rRNA from 1 species
AUACUGUGAAACUGCGAAUGGCUCAUUAAAUCAGUUAUCGUUUAUUUGAUAGUACCUUACUACUUGGAUAACCGUGGUAAUUCUAGAGCUAAUACAUGCUAAAAACCUCGACUUCGGAAGGGGUGUAUUUAUUAGAUAAAAAACCAAUGCCCUUCGGGGCUCCUUGGUGAUUCAUGAUAACUUAACGAAUCGCAUGGCCUUGCGCCGGCGAUGGUUCAUUCAAAUUUCUGCCCUAUCAACUUUCGAUGGUAGGAUAGUGGCCUACCAUGGUAGCAACGGGUAACGGGGAAUUAGGGUUCUAUUCCGGAGAGGGAGCCUGAGAAACGGCUACCACAUCCAAGGAAGGCAGCAGGCGCGCAAAUUACCCAAUCCCGACACGGGGAGGUAGUGACAAUAAAUACUGAUACAGGGCUCUUUCGAGUCUUGUAAUUGGAAUGAGUACAAUUUAAAUACCUUAACGAGGAACAAUUGGANNNNNNNNNNNNNNNNNNNNNNNGCGGUAAUUCCAGCUCCAAUAGCGUAUAUUAAAGUUGUUGCAGUUAAAAAGCUCGUAGUUGAACCUUGGGCCUGGCUGGCCGGUCCGCCUCACCGCGUGUACUGGUCCGGCCGGGCCUUUCCUUCUGGGGAUCCGCAUGCCCUUCACUGGGUGUGUCGGGGAACCAGGACUUUUACUUUGAAAAAAUUAGAGUGUUCAAAGCAGGCCUUUGCUCGAAUACAUUAGCAUGGAAUAAUAGAAUAGGACGUGCGGUCCUAUUUUGUUGGUUUCUAGGACCGCCGUAAUGAUUAAUAGGGAUAGUCGGGGGCAUCAGUAUUCAAUUGUCAGAGGUGAAAUUCUUGGAUUUAUUGAAGACUAACUACUGCGAAAGCAUUUGCCAAGGAUGUUUUCAUUAAUCAGUGAACGAAAGUUAGGGGAUCGAAGACGAUCAGAUACCGUCGUAGUCUUAACCGUAAACUAUGCCGACUAGGGAUCGGGCGAUGUUAUUAUUUUGACUCGCUCGGCACCUUACGAGAAAUCAAAGUCUUUGGGUUCUGGGGGAGU